rnacentral:rRNA from 1 species
GCUUGUCUCAAAGAUUAAGCCAUGCAUGUCUAAGUAUAAGCACCCUUAUACUGCGAAACUGCGUACAGCUCAUUAUAUCAGCAAUUAUUUAUUUGAAGGUCACCUAUUACAUGGAUAACCGUGGUAAUUCUAGAGCUAAUACAUGCGCCCAAACCCAACUUCUUGGAAGGGUUGUGUUUAUUAGAUACAGAACCAACCCAGGCUCCGCCUGGCCUUGAGGUGAUUCACAAUAACCGAACGAAUCGCAUAGCUGCCGCUGGCGAUAGACCAUUCAAGUUUCUGACCUAUCAGCUAUCGUCGGUAGGGUAUUGGCCUACCGUGGCAAUGACGGGUAACGGAGAAUUAGGGUUCGAUUCCGGAGAGGGAGCCUGAGAAACGGCUACCACAUCUAAGGAAGGCAGCAGG